rnacentral:lncRNA from 10 species
AGGACAUUCGCAGCAGGGAGGAGCCCGGUCCCUCCUCUUCUGCGUGGAAUCUGGGAUUGGAACGGUGGAUGGGAAGCACUCUAGCAGGGGACUCUGGCCUUGCGGAGGAUCCCUGUUUCCCUCUUUUCCCUUUUCACUCAAUAAAACCCUGUUUCACUCACCCUUUAAACCAUCUGCAAGCGUGACUUUUUGUGGCUGUAGGACGGACAAGAACCGAACUAAGGAAAGUCCUGCAACAUUUUUGGUGUGCAACCGCGGGGACUCAAGAAGUGUUGGAUCUUUCUUGAAAGAAGGAAAAGUGGAACAAUCAACAGUGAUGGAAAGGAAACACUGCUAUGUUAAAGGUCAUACAUCAUUACCUUCAGCUUUUUCUCCCCUUGAGAAGGAAUUCAAAAACUAUUUGUGAGUAUUUUUAUGACAACAUGACUAUUUACAUAAAUCCAGUAAAAUCUGCUCUCUGCUUAUAGAAAACAUUGGCUAUAUUACUAAUGCUUUGACUGAAAUGUCAUAUUUGAAAAUAUGCAUAAAAUUCCUGACUGCAAGUGCUCCCAGCCUUACAGUGAAUAAAUAAAAACUGUCACUGUCUAGCAGGCCCAGGAAACACAAGGCUGUGAAUAAUAUCUAAAGUCUGCAUUGGUUUGGCUUCCUACUCUCA